rnacentral:rRNA from 1 species
AGGUAAGCUACUAAGAGCGAAUGGUGGAUGCCUUGACUGGUAAAGGCGAUGAAGGACGUACUAGACUGCGAUAAGCUACGGGGAGCUGUCAAGAAGCUUUGAUCCGUAGAUUUCCGAAUGGGGCAACCCAAUGUAUAGAGAUAUACAUUACCUAUAUAGGAGCGAACGAGGGGAAUUGAAACAUCUUAGUACCCUCAGGAAAAGAAAUCAAUAGAGAUUGCGUCAGUAGCGGCGAGCGAAAGCGCAAGAGGGCAAACCCAGUGCUUGCACUGGGGGUUGUAGGACUGCAAUGUGCAAGAGGUAAGUUUAGCAGAACAUUCUGGAAAGUAUAACCAUAGAGGGUGAUAGUCCCGUAUGCGAAAAACAAACCUUAGCUAGCAGUAUCCUGAGUAGGGCGGGACACGAGGAAUCCUGUCUGAAUCUGGGUCGACCACGAUCCAACCCUAAAUACUAAUACCAGAUCGAUAGUGCACAAGUACCGUGAGGGAAAGGUGAAAAGAACUGAGGUGAUCAGAGUGAAAUAGAACCUGAAACCAUUUGCUUACAAUCAUUCAGAGCCCUAUGUAGCAAUACAGGGUGAUGGACUGCCUUUUGCAUAAUGAGCCUGCGAGUUGUGGUGUCUGGCAAGGUUAAGCAAACGCGAAGCCGUAGCGAAAGCGAGUCUGAAUAGGGCGCUUAGUCAGAUGCUGCAGACCCGAAACGAAGUGAUCUAUCCAUGAGCAAGUUGAAGCUAGUGUAAGAACUAGUGGAGGACUGAACCCAUAGGCGUUGAAAAGCCCCGGGAUGACUUGUGGAUAGGGGUGAAAGGCCAAUCAAACUUCGUGAUAGCUGGUUCUCUCCGAAAUAUAUUUAGGUAUAGCGUUGUGUCGUAAUAUAAGGGGGUAGAGCACUGAAUGGGCUAGGGCAUACACCAAUGUACCAAACCCUAUCAAACUCCGAAUACCUUAUAUGUAAUCACAGCAGUCAGGCGGCGAGUGAUAAAAUCCGUCGUCAAGAGGGAAACAACCCAGACUACCAGCUAAGGUCCCUAAAUCUUACUUAAGUGGAAAACGAUGUGAAGUUACUUAAACAACCAGGAGGUUGGCUUAGAAGCAGCCAUCCUUUAAAGAAAGCGUAAUAGCUCACUGGUCUAGUGAUUUUGCGCGGAAAAUAUAACGGGGCUAAAGUAAGUACCGAAGCUGUAGACUUAGUUUACUAAGUGGUAGGAGAGCGUUCUAUUUGCGUCGAAGGUAUACCGGUAAGGAGUGCUGGAGCGAAUAGAAGUGAGCAUGCAGGCAUGAGUAGCGAUAAUUAAUGUGAGAAUCAUUAACGCCGUAAACCCAAGGUUUCCUACGCGAUGCUCGUCAUCGUAGGGUUAGUCGGGUCCUAAGUCGAGUCCGAAAGGGGUAGACGAUGGCAAAUUGGUUAAUAUUCCAAUACCAACAUUAGUGUGCGAUGGAAGGACGCUUAGGGCUAAGGGGGCUAGCGGAUGGAAGUGCUAGUCUAAGGUCGUAGGAGGUUAUACAGGCAAAUCCGUAUAACAAUACUCCGAGAACUGAAAGGCUUUUUGAAGUCUUCGGAUG